rnacentral:tRNA from 1 species
GCAGGUAUAGUUCAACGGUAGAACGGCAGCCUUUUAAUCUGUUACGCAGGUUCGACUCCUGCUGCCUGCU